rnacentral:misc_RNA from 1 species
AACGCACCUUGCACCGUAUGAGCAAUCGUACGGUAUACCUGUUUGAGAAUCGUAAAACCCUCUUUCUACUACCCUUUGGGGUUUGUGGAAGAUUUGUUGGUUGUGCACCUCGGUGUACUCUGAUUAAAAGGAUCAAGUCUGGAUUUGGCUGGUGGCCAAGGACACUGUGUGCUAGAGACGUCGCUUCGGCUGACUGUCUUCUCACAGUGCGUCCUAGGCUAUUCAAAGCUGGUCUCAUCCUAGACUUUUCAGUGUGCCUAAAAACCACACAACCUUUUUUUUGAUCUCAAAUCAGGUAAGGCUACCCGCUGAACUUAA